rnacentral:ncRNA from 1 species
CGCCUUAUGCCUGAAAGGGCAACGUGACCCCACGGAGCGAGAAGUCAGCAGAGGCCGUAGUAGCUCCUCGUUUUUUUUUUUUUGGAGCAAAGGGC